UCUCAACCAAUCUAGCUCAAUUCACCAAUACUAGCCACCCUACACACACACACACAAACCAUUAUCCAUCCAACUAGUAGUUCACCCACACUAUGCGAUCGAAAAUUAACCACUGAAGCUAUAGAGACAGUACCGCAAGGGAAAGAUGAAAUAAUAAAACAUGUAAUAAAAGCAGAGAUUAAACCACGUACCUUUUGCAUCAUGAUUCAACAAGCAACGUCUGACCAAAAUGAACUUCAGCUCAUCCACCCGAAAUCAAGUGAGCUACUUUUAGGCGUUCUAUCAGGACUUUACCCCCUCUGUCGCAAAAGAGUAAAAAGACCUGAAAGUAGAGGUGAAAAGCCAAACGAACUUGACGAUAGCUGGUUACCUGAUAAACGAAUCUUAGUUCGCCUUUUAGUUCCAACCCAACAAACACAUAAUAGUCUUACCUUCAACUAAAAGUCUAUUCAAUAAUGGUACACCAUUAUUGAAAUAGGAUACAACCUAAAUCUGAGAACCACUAAACAUCAUAUAACCAACCCAGUAGGCCUCAAAACAGCCACCAAAAAUAAAAACGUUAAAGUGAUUAAAACAAAAAUCCCUUAAAUCACUUCAACCUCCAGAUCAACAUCAGGUUACCCCAUACAUCUAUGGAGGAACUUAUGCUGAAACUAGUAACAAGAGUAACCUCUCCUUUACACAUCCUUAAAUCGAUCCAGAACAUCUAUCGAUAAUUAACAGACAACAAACUCAUUACUACUACACACCCCACUCUUACCCACUGUCAACCCAACACAGGAGUGUUCUAAGGAAAGAUUAAAAGUCAAAAAAGGAACUCGGCAAUCCUCUAUUCCGACUGUUUACCAAAAACAUAGCCUUUGGCAGUACAUAUAUCAAAGGUAAUGCCUGCCCAGUGAUAAUAUUCAACGGCCGCGGUAUCCUAACCGUGCAAAGGUAGCGCAAUCACUUGUCCCCUAAAUAGAGACUAGUAUGAAUGGCUUCACGAGAAUAGACCUGUCUCUUUUGACAAAUCAGUGAACCUGAUCUUCCAGUACAAAAGCUGGAAUACCCUCAUAAGACGAAAAGACCCUGUGGAGCUUAAAUACUACACUACCCUUCCCUAGCAUAAGUAUUUUAGUUGGGGCAACUUCGGAAUUAAACCAAACUUCCGACAAUAUUCCGGAACCACCGUUACAACAAACCUACAAGUUUCAUCCUAGAACCUGACCCAGCCAUCCAGCUGAUCAACGAACCAAGUUACCCCAGGGAUAACAGCGCCAUCUUCUUCUAGAGCCCCCAUCGACAAGAAGGUUUACGACCUCGAUGUUGGAUCAGGACACCCAAAUAGCGCAGUCGCCAUUAAAGGUUCGUUUGUUCAACGAUUAAAGUCCUACGUGAUCUGAGUUCAGACCGGAGUAAUCCAGGUCAGUUUCUAUCUAUGCACUAUUUUCUUUAGUACGAAAGGACCAAGAAAAUAGGACCCAUGCUCCAAGUAAGUCCUCAUUUAAACUGAAUAAAUAUCAAAACUUCAGUACCCUACAUCUCAAGAGCAGAACC
rnacentral:rRNA from 1 species